ACGAUAAUGGAUGUUAAAUCGUCAAAAGAUGAGAGAGCGGAUUGGUUUGUAUUAUAUCUUGCUAAAGGUUUUGGAACUCCGUAGCGAAUCGAUGAUUAGAAAGGAAGUAGAAAAGACGUACCCAAAGAUUCCUAUAAAACACAAUCCAUAUUGGUUUUAUCUUGGCGCGGAUUGCUUAUUAAAAAAACUACCUAAAUAGUAAAACGUAUCGGAAACGAAACAAUGCUGAACAACGAUAAUCAUCCCA